AAAAAGACAAACUAUGGGUUUCCGUGCCAAUAUUUGACUGUCCGUCUUAUAUAAAAAAAAUUUAUAAUUAGUAUUUUCAUUGUUGUUAGAUGAUAAAACAUGAUUAAUACUUUAUGCGUCACUUAUCUUUUUAUUUUUUUUCAUAAUUUUUUUAAAUGAGACGGACGGUCAAACGUUGGACACGAAAAUCAGAGUUUGUCUUUUU
rnacentral:pre_miRNA from 1 species